UACGGAGGGUGCAAACGUUGCUCGGAAUCAUUGGGCGUAAAGCGCACGUAGGCGGCCCAGCAAGUCGGGUGUGAAAGCCCUCGGCUCAACUGGGAGCGGUCGUGCGAUACUGAUCAGCUUGAGGCCGGUAGGGGGAAGCGGAAUUCCGGGUGUAGUGGUGGAAUGCGUAGAUAUCCGGAGGAACACCAGUGGCGAAGGCGGCUUCCUGGACCGGUCCUGACGCUCAGGAGCGAAAGCGUGGGUAGCGAACAGG
rnacentral:rRNA from 1 species